AGUGAACGCUGGCGGUAGGCCUAACACAUGCAAGUCGAACGGCAGCACAGUAAGAGCUUGCUCUUACGGGUGGCGAGUGGCGGACGGGUGAGGAAUACAUCUGAAUCUACUUUUUCGUGGGGGAUAACGUAGGGAAACUUACGCUAAUACCGCAUACGACCUACGGGUGAAAGCAGGGGAUCUUCGGACCUUGCGCGAUUGAAUGAGCCGAUGUCGGAUUAGCUAGUUGGCGGGGUAAAGGCCCACCAAGGCGACGAUCCGUAGCUGGUCUGAGAGGAUGAUCAGCCACACUGGAACUGAGACACGGUCCAGACUCCUACGGGAGGCAGCAGUGGGGAAUAUUGGACAAUGGGCGCAAGCCUGAUCCAGCCAUACCGCGUGGGUGAAGAAGGCCUUCGGGUUGUAAAGCCCUUUUGUCGGGAAAGAAAAGCAGCAGGUUAAUACCCCGCUGUUCUGACGGUACCCAAAGAAUAAGCACCGGCUAACUUCGUG
rnacentral:rRNA from 1 species